UUUUAAGAUUUAUUUAUUUAUUAUAUAUAAGUACACUGUAGCUGUCUUCAGACACACCAGAAGAGGGCGUCAGAUCUCGUUACAGAUGGUUGUGAGCCACCAUGUGGUUGCUGGGAUUUGAACUCCGGACCUUUGGAAGAGCAGUCAGUCGGGUGCUCUUACCCACUGAGCCAUCUCACCAGCCCUCAGGAUAUCUUGACUUGCCCACUUGUAUGUGACUCACAAAAGUUAAUUCUCAUGUCCAAACCAUGGCUUGAAAUGGACUAGCCAUCAAGACUCAGUCCCCAAGAGAAACUUUCUGUUAACCUAGGCUGUAUGCUUGGCUUUGAGAUGGACAUCUGACAAAUAUAAAGGCUUAGGAAUUUACUAGUCAUUAAAUCUUAAUGAAAGACUUACUCAAGUCUUUCUCAAGCACUUUAGCAGUAAGAACAAGAGACCCAAGAGGAAGACAAAGAAGAGUUACAAAAACAGCAAGUAAAUACUCACACAAAAGGGCUUUAGAUGGAGCCAAAAGAGCAGAUUAGAAGCAAGCAGAACUUACCAGUUUCUUCUUGGCUCAGAAUCAAAAAAGACAAAGAAAAAUUCAGUGUGGGACAGCGCUGAACAUCAAUAUUAUUUGGAUGGAUUUGGAGGGACCUGGUGGCGUUUAUAAGAAGAUAAAGAGAGGAGGGAUGUGUUUUCUGCUUGUGUAGUCAGGUAUGGGAAAAGGGGUGUCUCCUUGGGUCCAUGCUGAGGCAUCCCUUCCCCCUAAUGGACCAGCCACACGAUGGGAUGGUGUAGUAUAGAAUAGAAUUUAUUCAAGGCAUGGGGAGGGGAGUUAAGAGGGUAGCAGAGGCAGAGAAAGGCAGAGGGAGCAAGGGGGAGGUAGAUAAGUAGAUGAAUAGAGGUCUGCGAGGCAGUGGGCAUGGGGGAAAGAGGGAGUGGGGGAAAACCCGCAUCCCGCCAGAGUUCCGGUGCCCUGGGCGGGCAGACAUAUAAGGACUGCUGCACACUUUCCACACAGCCCAGGGUAAACCCCAGCUCGUCGGAGGAUGGACAAGGGGCAGUCCUAGGUACCAAGUUCUCAGCCCCUGGCAUCCCAGACACCACUGGACACCGCGAAAGAGCUGAGAACAGAAUGGGGGCCCCAGGGGCGGCUCAGUCAGCUCUGGGCCGAAGGGAGGAGAGGGCAGGGGGGAAAGGGAGGCGCUGUGUGGUUCCCACGUGGGUGAGAGUCCUUGAGAGUCAGUGUCUGGAGCACAGAAAGGCCUUCUGGAGGGAGGUUAGAUGUGGCUCGUUAGGGGAAAGCCUAUCCAUCAUCGUUCAAGCACUGCAGGCCUUGAUGAGCAGAGACAGUUUAUGGUUUUAGGACUUUAUUGUGGAAAGGCAGGGGGAAAGAG
rnacentral:lncRNA from 1 species